rnacentral:lncRNA from 1 species
UAAUCGUAACCCGCACUUUAAGUUUAAAAAAUAACGAAAUUUAAGUUUGACGGAGUUACAAAUUCUUGCCAACAUGUUCAUACAGUAUAGUACUAAUCCUAGACUUCAGAAGCCUGAUGGUACUUCUAGAACGUAACCCUGCUAUCUAGUCUACAGGGAUGUUCCAUUCUCAAUGGAGUUAAUCAGACAAACCCAUCAAGGGCAUUAGAACGACGGACGCCCUUUUGAGUCCGACGACGAAUUGAAGUGGCUUGACCUUUUUCUUCCAAGGGUCUUCCAUGUGAAACUGUUUCCCUUCUGUAAACCACUGGUGAUGACUUCAUCUUCCCCAUCAUCUUCAGUCUCCUCUUUGCUGUAUGAUGACACUCCAGCCCUUCCUUUGUCAGGUGUCCACGACGGGUUGCUUGCACCAUCUGCGCUGUUCUCCAGAGAUCUAGGCCUCUUCCUCCUUUCACUAAAAUCCACUUCUGGUAUGUCAGGUAAAAUAGAGGUCCUCUUCGCUCUUGGAGUAAUCUUUGGAAUAUCCUCAAAUCCUUCAUCAGAUUUCAUCCACUGAUCACCAAAAGAGUCUGAAUAGACAACCUCCUUCCUUCGCCUCUUUGAACCAACUGAAAUAUUCUGGAAUUCAUCUGCCACGGUCCUCUUGGUUGUGGUUUCAUUAUUGGCAAACACCCAAUCUGGAACCUCAUUUCCGUCCAUAAGUCUAGAUUUGUAGUUUUCUCUUUGCCUCCUUUCCUCAUCCAUCUUCUCGAACAACCAGAACUCUUCAUCAUUUCGAGCAGCCAAACGAUUUAUCUCACGCUCACUGGGGAUAUCAGUUCCCAGUGAACUUGUGCCUCUCCUGAGGAUCUCCUGCAACAAUGCUCGCCUGUCCUGUGCUGUAGUGGGAAUGAACAUGAAAAUAUAUCAUAAAUUACAAUACAAUGUUUACAUGAAGAAAGGAACUGGAGUGUUCAAACUCACCAGUGGAAGUUGUGUUAAACAGGCCAGCCUGGAUAACUUUUGCAUCAAUACCCAUCUUCUGUUUUGCGCGGUCCAAGAUCUCUUCUUCAAUUGAACCAACACUAACAAGAACAAAUACACGCACUUCAUUCUUUUGUCCAAUACGAUGGGCACGGUCUUCAGCCUGCUGGUCCAUUUGAGGGUUCCAGUCACUAUCAAAGAUAAUGACAGUGUCUGCAGUCUGCAAGUUUAAUCCAAGGCCUCCGGCACGUGUGCUGAGGAGGAACAUGAAAUAUUCUGAAUCCUUCUUAUUAAAAUCUGCCAGUAACCUUCCUCGUUCUUCAGUCUUCGUGGAUCCAUCAAGCCUCAUGUACUUGAAAUUGUACAUUUGCAAAUACACUUCUAAAACGUCAAGCAGUUUUGUCAUCUGAGAGAAAAGCAGAACCCUAUGGCCAGCUCUCUGCAGUUUCGGAAGUAGACGAUCAAGCAAUUCAAACUUUCCUGAUGCUCUAACAAUUUCCUCCCGCUGAUACAUGUUAUAAUGCUCUACAAAUAGGUAAGGAUGGUUGCAACACUUCCUAAGCUGCAUUGACAGAUUUUGCAGAGCCUUUGAUCUGAGCCCUGCACGCAUGAGCAUGAACAAGUAAUGAGCACAUUACUCACGCAAAACACAUGGAAAAUUAAAAUGGAACUGCAAGUGUGAUACAACAUGAAGAUUAUGUACUAAAUCAACUAGCAACACAGACAUAUCCAAAUUUGCACCAGCGUUAUAAUUGCUUUAUGCACUGCUCCAUCAAGAUCAGGUGAAAAAUUAAAAAUCUUAUUUCGCUCAGAAAUAUAUUUUCAUGGGGGGAAGGAUUAGUAGUACAAGGGCAUACCAGAUCCUAGCGCAACCCUUUCCCUGCUUGUGACUUGUUCGUAGUAUGCUUUUUGCCAAGCAGACAUGUCACACUUGAGAAUUACUUGUGUUUUCACAGGGAGAUAUUUUUCCACUUCAUCUUUCUUCCUCCUCAGCAAAAAUGGACGCAAAACCUGGGUAAAAACAAAGGAUGCAAUGAAUAAAUUUAAAUGUUCCCCCAAUAUCAAUUUAAUUUUUCACACACUUUAUGUGCUGCCACCUCACCAGAUCUUGACCAAAAAGAUGAUGAUGCAAGUGGAGGAUCACGUGGCAACAUGUAUGGAGUUAAAAGAACUGAAUGACUGGAGGGAAUGAAUAGGGGGCAGCACUACUCACUUGAUGUAAACGAUGUAUGAUUAGUAGUUGUUCCUCGUCAUUAAGGCUGACAUCACAUGCAAAUGGUGCAUUGAACCAUUCCUCAAAAUUCUGGGAUGAAUUAAAAAUAUUGGGCAGAAUAAAGUUUAGCAAAGACCACAGUUCUUGUAGGCUGUUUUGGAUUGGAGUGCCAGUUAAAAGUAGCCUGCGGCGGAUCUGAUAGCUGUAAAUAAAGUAUCAGCAAUAUGUAAGCAUAAUUUUCAAAAGGUCCAGAUAAAUUAAUUUACUAUCAUUACGAAAAAAACAAAUAGGUCAAUGGCCAUCACUAAAUAAUGAACAAGGUUGACACAUGAAUGGCAAAAUGGAAGUAGGCAACUAUCCAUGGAAAGAAAAUGGUACUCAAAUAUGAUGGAAAGCAGGUGUCUCAAUCUACUACUACAAAAACUUUGUAAGUUAUAUUUGGUAAAUUUCGUAUAGUACCAAACUAAUUUAAUGAUUAGCAAUAAAGCUAGUGAUAAAAUCAUUGCAUUUACAUAAAGUAUCAUAACAAUUUAAUCAAUUUAGCCAUUUAGCCAUUUUUUGGACCAACAAUUUAAUCAAUUAUAAGCUGGCUCUAAACACUAUCCAAUCAAUACAAUGACUUAUUCACUCAGCUACCGCCUUCUUCAGGAAAGGCAGAAGGUAUGCCUAUGUGAUAAACCACAAAGACAAGAUGUUUGAGAUCCAUCUGUGAAAUGAUACAAGGUGCAGACCCAUUAUGACGACAUAUGAGAAAAAGUUAUGUGUAACUGGCUGAGAAAACUAGUUUAAUGAUUGUUAUCGCAAGGUUACGAGACCUGGCACUAAAUAUGAAAUUUGAAGUUCUUCACAUUUUCAGUGGCUGGUAUGUCAAGUGGUUUAUAGGCCAAUGUGUCAACGAUCAAAAAGACAUUACAGGUAACCAGAGCCAUCCCCAGAUAAUAAUUGAGUGGCACAUGUCAACCAAAGCUACACAGUAGCAAAAUUAUGAAUAAAGAUUUUACCCGGAAACUAGUGUGCGAGCAAGAGCACAUUCAUGGUUUUUCAGACGAUGUCCUUCAUCAACUAUCAAAUAAUGCCAGUGAACCUUCUUUAGGAACUUCUUAUCUUUCAGUAUCAAAUCAUAAUGCGUGAGCAAAACAUUAAAUUGCAGUCCAUGUACAUCAAAAUUCUUAUCCCUUAGAGCCCUCCGCUCAUCUGGACGACCAUCAUACAGAAUUGUCGCAAUGCUGCAACAGACAAGCAUGUUGCAUUAGGGUGGCUUUGAUACAAAGUAGAAUGGAAAAUGCAUCACGAAUUUUGAUGAUACAGACUCCAAUGAAACAAUACCUGGGAGCCCAAGUUUUGAAUUCAUUCGACCAAUUUGGUAAUACUGCUUUUGGAGCAAUUAUUAAGUGUGGCCCUGGGACCUCUUUCUUUUCCAACAGAUAAGCAAUCAAAGCUAUGGUCUGAAUUGUCUUUCCCAGACCCAUUUCAUCAGCCAGAAUCCCAUUCAAAUUGUUGUUAAAUAAAGAAAGCAUCCAUUGGAGACCCUCUAGUUGAUAUGGCCUUAAUUCCCCACCUUCGAGAGCUGAUGGUUGUUCUGUUACCUGUAAAUGCAAAGAACAGAGAGAAACAUUAGAUUUACUAGAAUUACCCAGAAUCACAUAUUGUACUAUGGGUUUGCAAAAUAAAAGGACGAUGUCAAAUUAACGAAUACAAGAUUAGCCACAACAUUAGUCUGAAUUCCAAUGAAAAACAUAUCUGGAAUCAAUUAGCAAUUGUCGUUUUUUAUUUUUAUACCUUUGAAAGUAUUAUAUUAGUUUUACAACUAGAAAGAAACAGUCAAAAUCAUUUAAUGCAAAACAAAAAUAUUAGUCCCCCAUAUAAUAUACCACAAUUACAAGAGAUUGAAUAAGGAGGUAAUAGUUCCCCGUAUAAUUUAUUUAAAUCCGCGCAUUAUCUACUACUAGUAGCAAUGCUCUCCCUUGCUAUUUUCCCAAAAUAACAGUACCUACCAUCAUUUAAGAUCCAAAUUAAGUACAUUGCCAGCGAACACAUAAGUUGUUUAAUAAUUAUGGCCAACACUCUCACGGUGCAACUGGUCAGCCGAACACGCCAGAGAAGCGAUUCGCUGAGCCAGCCUGGGUUCGAGUCACAGCACAAGCUUCUUAAGAUGAAAAUCAGGGGGACGUCUCUCCCCCUGGUCGAGUUUUUUUUUUUCUUAAUAAUUAUGGCUAUGAAUAUGAUGAUCAAUAAAUCUGCGUGCAUCGUAAACUUUGGGUGCCAAUACACCCAGCAUGGCACAGAAAAAGUUCAAUAAAUGGAUAGUGAAACUUUGUUCUACCUUCUCUUCAAUUGAAUGGACAGUAAAAUCAAGUCUACGCCCUGCAUUGAAUUUAUUUUCAUCUGCAGAACCAGGAAGUUCUGCAUCAUCAUCUGAAGGAGACUCCUCAGGUGAUUCAUUCUUGAUGUCUGAGAUUUGUGAAUCAGAUUCGGACUCUUUUGGUACUUCAUUUCCUUCUGGCUGACUAACGUGCUCCGCAUCUUUUUGUCGCUGUACAGCUUUCCCAAUUCCUUCAAGAAGUUCAUUUGUUUUGUCAAGGAGCAUUUUCAGGCGUUCAUUCUUGCUCUCCUCAACCAUCCUCAUAUAUGCUUCCUGAUCACCGAUUUUCAGAAGAUUCAAUCUAUUUUUCUCCUGCCGUGAGAUACGUUGACGUGCCCGAACAUGCCAUGCCUACAUUUAGCAAGUAAAAGGGCUCUUAAGUGCUAUUGCACAUCUAGAACAUGAGUAUCUCUAGGAUAAAAUCAUAUUACAAAAUAGUAAUGGCAUUUACUCUGAAAGGAAAUGCAAUCAUGUGCUAACAAAUAGAAAAAAAAACAGUGCACUAUUUUCUAAAUACUUCACUUCUCUUCUCCAAAUUGGAAUAUAUGUUGCAUCAAAAUCUUCACCUUUCGUAAUCUCAAGGAGCAUAAAAAUAUUGUUGAAAUGCAAUCAUAGUUUACUCUGCCACCAUUUCAGAUGGAUGAACAGAUAGGGUCCUAAAUCAUACCUGAACUCCAUCAUUCCGCUGCUUUCUUUGUUUGAAUGUAGUUGCUAAUUGCACCUGGUGUUCCCUAGAAGCAUUGAGAAUUUCUGUAAAAAACUUCCUCUUCCUUAUAUCUGCCUGAAUUUUUUCUUCCUCUUCGAGUCUUGACAUCCUCUAAAGUUUGAAAGUACCAACAUUGUAAUCAUGAUUUGAGCUGUAUAUAAACUAGCAAACCUAAUUAUCAGAAGAUAUAUGACACAAACCUCUGUGAAUCUCUUUUUGCGGUGAACAUCAUCAGCAUCCAUUAAAAAGCUAUCUCCUAUCCCAUACAUGGCAAAAGGAUAUCGUAUCCGCAUCAUCCCCCAGUCAAACAGUUGCCUUUCAGGAUAUGCACAUUUCUUGUGUAGCCAAUAUUCUGCGCUGAUAUCGGACCGCACUUUCUUCUGUAAGUCUAACAACUGCACAAGUAUAUGAACAAUCAGCAAGGAUUGCUACGACAAAUCACUGCUGACUAUACUUCUAAAUAUAGACACAUGAAAGUCAUAUGUGGUAGUUUCAAAUAGAUAUGGUGUGUAACAAAUAGAUAAUAGCUAAUAUCUCAACCGCUGCUGGACAAGCUUUUGUACAAUUUGUGCUGCCCCUACAUAUAACAUAUAUCGUAAUUUCGCACUCUAUGCUAUCUUGACCACAAAUCCAUCGCAAUUAGCAACGCACACACACACACACACACAUCUCAGCAAUACUUAAGUGCUGGGACAUGUCGCCUUUAAGAAGCCAGCAAUUUGGACCGUAGAACAUCUAAUCAAGGAUUUUGUAUGUAUGCAGGAAAAAUCUAUGAACAUGCAAUAUUAAUUAUAUUAUAAAAUUGUAUGAUAGAAAAUGAAUAAUGGAAGCACAGUGGUAACCAAUAUCUGCACAAAGAGGCUAAAAGGAAACCAUAUCAAAUGAGCAACCACCGAGGAGAGAGUAAGGACAGCGAAGUAGCCUAUGCUUCUAGUCUUCUAGAUAAGACGGUUACCUUUAGCCCGUACAAUUCAAGCAAACACUUCAUUUGCAAGUCUUCACCCCUAGUAGAAGGUAACCCUGGCACAAAAAAAAAAGAAAUAAGUGAUGAUGCUGUAACGGGUAAAAAUAACAAUGAUCAAACAACUAAGCAACUCUUUAAAUAAGUCAAGCAGUAACGAAGCUCUAGUGGCAGCUGCCAGGAAAUUAAAUGCAAGCACAUGCAAACUAUAUCUGGCGAAUGCUCAACAUUCGGUAACAAGUGAAUCUGUUGCACAAUCAAACACAAAAAAGUCAUUCCAAAUUUGCUGCUUUUUCCACCUUUCAAUUCCGCAUUAAAUAUUUCCACCAUAAAUCAAACUGCGCAGUAGAGCCAAAAGAAAGCCUGGGCUCAGAUCAGGACAGGUUAAAUAACCGAAAGAAGGCCUGGGACCAAUGCCAGACCAAAGACAUCCAUAAGACUAGAGGUGCAGUUGACACAGGAGGCCAGAAACAUAAAUGGCCAAAUUGCCUGUAUAAAACUCCGCGCGAAUUGUUUUGCAGAGAUUCCACUCCCCAAGCACUUAUUACUUCUUUAGCACUAGGUUAUGUCCUGGACUCCUGUCUGAUCCAUUAGAUUGAACAUGGAUGGCUCAGAUCAUACAGAUUCUCUUACCGUUAGUUGGAUUCUUCUACAGUUAGCUGCCAUCAACUCCCUCCCUCAUCUACCAUUGUUCCAUCAGAUAACAUGGACGGUUCAGAUCAUACAUGGACUCUCCUACUGUUAGUUGCCGUCAACUCCCUCCCUCCCUCCCUCCCUCCCUCUCUACCUACCUCCCUCCCUGCCUGACACUCAAGGCCCCCGCCAUAAGCGUGUUCUUGCUAUCCCUGUCUUAUUUAUGCUGCUCAGAACUGGAAGGGAUUUGGCGGUGACCGUGAUGAGGUGGACUGCAGGCACAUGAUCAUCAGUGGCCAGAGAUGGCCGCCUCCGCUAUCAUUGGAGACAAACAAGGAGUUUACUGGAGAUGAUGGAGUGCUACACAGCGCAAAAAUGGGGAUGAAAUGAGUGCUAAAUAGUAAUUAAGGCUUUGGGAGUGGUACAUUUGCAGAUCAGGUUUGGGAAUGCUUACAUGCUUUUUGACCCACAAAAUUAUCCAGUCAACACAACCAGAUUUGUAAGACCAUGAAAACUAAACCGGGAAGGGAAAAAUCAAAAACUUGUUCAAAACAAUGCAAACCAAGGAACCAGUCAGCAAAUGAAGUACAAAAAAUGAGUCCCUCUAAGAAGACCUUCGAGUUCAGCUAGCCGAUGCUGGAUGGAUGCAUUGAACCGUCCUUCCUUCAGAGCAGCCAAUUCUGAGUAGGAUACGGGCAUUCUUUGAUUCUUAAAUAUCGCAUCUUCAAGCUCUUCAAUCAAGGUAGCACCCUGUAAGGUAACAGCUUUACUCAGUCAAAAAAUAAGAGAAGAUCAUUCAACAGCUAAAUAGCAAGUACUUCACAACAAACAAAAUCAAAAGGAGGUAAAGAAAUGAGCACUUCACCAAAUUAUCAUGAUAACAAUAUAAUGAUUUACAACUAAAUCACAAACAGUAUAUUAUUAGCAAGCACCUCAACACAUAACAAAGAUAAGAAACUUUUAUAAUUGUUUCAGUGGAUAGUCAAAUUUCAAAGAAUAUUUUUUUUAUCACACAAAAUUUUGCUCUGCUGGAAACUGGAUGAAUCAAACCAAAUUACCAAGGCAAACCAGUGCUUAAUGCACUCAACAAACAGCCCUAGACAAACUUCAUCGAAAGCAUAGGGUCAUUACAAAUCACACCCUAGCCACUCAGUUUGCAUACAGUUGUGUAAUUUAUGCAUUUCAUAAAUCUGUGCCAAAAGGGGAAAAAAUGAAAGAGAAACCUGCCCUGCUUGAGUACGUAUCACACCACCCAAGAGAACAAAAAAUCACAUAUCGCGCUUACUUUAGCAUGCAUACACAAAACAAACCAUAUCAUCUUAGCAAAGAAGAAAAAUUAAAUAUAUGACAAAGGCUCUAGAAAAAUUCUGUAUUUUCUGGAGCAAGCAAUACAUUGCUGAUCCUAACAGAGCAUCAGAGGUCAGUAGAAUUUCAACAGGAAAAUUUAAAUGCUCAAUCGUACUCAUAAUUAUCCAACAUAGUCAUCCCAUCUGGGUUCAAAACAGCCAAAUCUAUCAGCAGCUUUGUUCGCUCCAGCAUAAACAAGCAAAUAUGUCCUGACAAACUAUUUCACAUUUUCACCUAAUGAAUACCAGUACUGCACCCAACAGAGACAUCUGGCCACAACACAAACCAUGAAAGCAUUAUAAUACUCAAAGGGAAACAGCCAAUUGCACGCAAAAACAUCACUGCAAGUGCAGCCCAUAAUCCCCAGCAGGAAGCACGCUCCAAUCUAGGAAGACUAGCGAAAGUCAAGCUAAAUCACGUCGAAUUCCACAGACCCUAAGCGAAUCUCGUAACAAGCAGGCCCCCAACACCUCGGCACGAAUCCAACACGCAGUCCCGGGAGCACUCGCCAGAGGGGAAAUCGCCGUACAAACCGAAGAACCACCGGAACGCACCUCGGCAGCACCGUCAUCGGCGCCCUCCGCGCAGCCCUCCUCCGCGGCAUCCGCAGCCGCCAUCUCCUCAUCCCCUUCCUUCUCCGCCUCCCCCACCUCCCCCUCCCCGUCACCGGCACCCCCGUCGUGGUAGAUGGACGAGACGGCGCGCAGGACGUCGGGGGGAAGCGGGAGGUUACGGGAGAGCAGGUUGAGCGCGCCGAUGAGCGUCCUGGCCUGCUCCACCGCGCCCCCGGCCUCGUCUACGGCGGAGGACGACGCGGGUGGCGCCACCGCCACCGCCGCGUCCACGGACGCCGCCAUCGCUAGGGUUUCGCCCCGCGACGCCUCCGCGGGGCGAGACGGCGCCGGCUCCUCCCCCGGCGGGUUCGAAUCGGCGCGCGGCAACGGUCUGCUGGGUUUUGAGCGGGGUUUGAUGGGGUGUUUUCGCGCCGGCCUGUGUCAGGGGAAGCCGAAGCUUCGAUCGAUCGGGGGGGAGGCGGGCGCCGUGCGGAUGGCUGGGCAGCGGAUGGGGAAUUUUGGUGGUUUUUUUCUUUUUUUAACUGCGUUCGGGCUCGGGGUGUAUAUAUUGGAUCGGGCUGGGCGUGGGCGGGUGGGAUCCGAUUUCGCGGUUGGUGUGCGUUGGUGUUGUAUGGGGUGGGCCUGGGCCCUGGGCCGAGCAGGCCAGCCUGUAUAUGAACUUGACCGUACUCAGCCUGCAAGAGAGGGCUUGGCAUAUUUUUAAAUUCUAAAUGCAUUUUGCUUGGUUUAUGCAAAAUUAAUCAAGAAUAGUGACCAACUUCAGCUUCAAAAAUGCAUUUAUAAUUUAGAAAUAUGCAAUCUAUGACUUUCUCAUGGCCGAAUCAAGUUGCAAGUAAAAAUACAAAUCAUAUUUAAGAAAUGUUCGAUUCUCGGAUCUUGGACGGGAGGAGUACAUGCAUAAGGAUAACUCUAAAAUAAAACUUUUCAAGCAUUAUGGAAUUCGCCGCUUAUGCAUGUUUCUAUCAGCAUCAAGGUUGUCAACGACUUUUUUUUAAAAAAAAAGACAUCAAGGUUGUCAUGCUCAACCCCUAAUCCUAGCCCUAUAGGGCCACUCCUCUCAUUUGGCAUUGUUUGCACAAACACGUCAUGAGAAUUGAGAAUCCAUCCAGCAUCAAUGAUGUGCUCCACACCGAAAAGGCACUUGCAUAGAGGCCCAAACUUGCGACCUCCUAGGACUAUCUCUGCUACUAAAAAGAGGCUAAGUAAGAUUUUUUUAGUUAGUCAUACUCCCUCGUACGUCGCCCCUCCCGAUCGGUUCAAAAAAGGCACGUCUCCCCCCUGCCCCCACGAUCACCGUUCCCUUCCCCCACCAGCCAUUCUUGUAUAAUAUAGUUGGCUUUUGCAGAUUCACGCUAAUUUUUAAGUUUUCAUAUAUUGUUAAGCAAAGGUUGAAUAUUCUUACAUUUACCAGGCAUACCUAAGUGGCUUGGUUCAUUAUGUUGGUUUUAUAAGUAAGAUGAUACGGUGGUGACUUAGCAUUGCCUAUAAAACACGAUAAUUGAUGCCUAAAUGAUUCAAAUAUUAUGUGUGAUAUCUGUAUAUUUUUCUAUCUUUGGAACUGAAUAAUUGAUUAUCAGUUAUAAAAGGCUGUUGUUUAAGGAGUGCAUUGCUAAUUAUGUUGGUCUUCCUAUUGAUUGUCAGUUUAGAAUCAUGAUAAGUUUAGUUGAUAUUACAUUUUAAAUCAGCUGUUUGAAUGAUCUCACGCCAAGUACAAAGUACAUUCUUCGAAAUAUAUUCAUUUUCUUUAUACAUUAUCUCAUUGAGGUCCUUUCCAUGGUAUUAUGAGAUUGAUAUUUGUUUUGCCCGUAGCAACACCCGGCCACGAACCUAGUUCCUACCCAGAUGAUCCUACCAAGACCGAUACGUGUAUACAUCUACCUUCUCCUCACUUUAAGAAGGCUCCCAUACCAUUUAGAUACCCCCUCCGGUGGACCCGUGAUGAAUACUUGACAUUGCCAACCGAGGAAUGAACCGUCACAAAGCUAAAAACUUUGUUUGAGCAUCAACGUUAAACGUCCACAUGUAGAUGUAAUGUUUAACUUUUGAUGAAUGAGAAGCCAACCUCUAUCCCGUGACGGUGAUUGUCUUGGCUAAUUUUCACAAUUCCAUUCUUCUUGACGGGAUUCGUACUCUUAUUUUUAGUGCCAUUUCUUACUAACCUUCUCUUGGCUGCAACAAUUAAAUCUCUGCCAUUUUCUUAUAAAAGAAGACCAAUGAAAUUGAGUGGAACGGUUUAAUUAGUCGACAAACUUUCAAAUUAGACAAAAAGUGACUAAUUUGCUCGACCGUUUUGGUCUACGGAAUUCAAAACAUACCAGCAUGUUUAAGUCUACAUUAGGCCUAGUAGCUAUGCGUUUUGAUCUCAAUAACCGUUCUGACUUCCAAGAAGCUUGUUUAUAACGAAAACAAUUGUAAACCCCAGAUACCAAAAUCAAAUGUAAAAAGAAAACACAGAAGCACGAAUAGUUCGACAUUGGAGUUUAUAGGAUUAUCAUCAUUUUAAAUUUCCACCUUUUUUUGUGUGCGUGAUAGAGCUGUGGGCAAUGGAAGAUCGAGAAAGUGAUUGCCUUGUCCACAAGGCCAGAAAAGUGGAGAUAGCUGGCGCACAUUAGAGAUCAAAAGCAACCUCUGGUAGUCGAUGAGUGUGACACUGGAUCUUUUUUAGGUAUGCUAGUGUUGCAUGAGAGCAUGAAAAGGAAGUAUCAAAUGUCAUCAUGAUUGGAGAAACCUUUUGAGGUAAAUGAGUGCUUUUUCAUGCCUAAUAUAUUAAUGGUCAAGAUAAUGGGUGGUGUCUCAUCGGAUGAUAUAAAUUGUAUGGCUUUCUUUUUGUGUGAUGCGCUAAUGGCGAGACUUAAAACAUGCCUCAAACUUGUACUAAUGAACGAAAUGAACUUUGAAUUACCAUCCCAUAUAGGAGCGAUGCCUAUGAGAGCUCUUUUUUCAUGCAUUUGUGUGGAAGUUUCUCCUAAUCUUGCGACCUUUCUUGAAAUUCAAAUCACUUGUUCAUCUUGUUGUUACGGAAAAUUCAUAAUGAAUUGUCGACGAGCAAUAAUGGGUCAAUAACAACAACAGUGUCAUAAGAUGACUAUCAUAUGAGGUUUUGAAGAGUACGACGCAAUGUGUUUUCUUUAGGAAAAAGUUCAAUUUACUCUCGAGUAUAGCCAAAAUCUGAAUGACCCCCUAAACUAUAACUUGGUUAAAUUUACCCCUAAACUAUGCUAUUUAGUUUAUUUUACCCCAUAAUACAAUUUAUCUUUUUUUCUCCAUAUACAAGUUGAAUUUUAAUUUUAAUUUUGCAGGGUAGUAGUGGACAUCACAAUGCAUAUUUGAAAAAUUAUUAUAAUUUUUUCAUUGUUAUUUUUCAUAUAAUUCGAACUCCAAUGAUUAAUUUAUUAUUAAUGUCCUAACCUAUCAAAAUAAUGACAAAAAUUAUGAUGUAUUUUUUCUAACAUAUUUAUAAUGUGCACUAUCAUGUUGUAAAAUUUCAACUUAAAAUUCCACCUAUGCAUGGAGAAAUAAAAAACACAAAUUGUAUUAGUGGGUAAUUUGAAUCAAAGCCGUGUGGAUCGAAACGUAUAGUUUAGAUGGUUAUCCAGACUUUGGCUUUAACUGAGAGGAGUAAUUUAUAUUUUUUCCCUUUUCUUUAAAACGGGAAAGCCGUGUGGAUCGAAAUCGAAAGAGAGAAAUAAAAUAAGGAAAACGAAACCUCUUCUGGAAGUUUGGAACUGCGCCUAUCAAAGCCGGCAGCCAGUGAAGGCCGAAGCCGGCCCAGCGGGGCCCACGCCCCAGUUCCCACACGGCGGCGGCCGCGCCCGCCAUUUACUCCGCUCCGACGUACUCCUCCCCCAACUCCUGAGCUGUCGAUGACAGCCAACCCCAUUGACUCCCGACACCCACAGCCGCGCUUACCCGCGCGCCCCCGACACCCGGGACCCACCAUAUUAACCCCCUGCCACUGCCACCUGGGCCCCGCCGCGUUUCCCAUCCUACUCUGCUCUGUCCCCCCCGCGGCCGUCGUCUCCCCCGUCCAAUUCCGAAUUCCACUGCCUGCGCUGGCCCCCCUCUCUCUCCUCCCUGUCCCUGCUCGCUCUCCCUCGGAUCCCACGCGGCUGCUGCUGCUGCGGCGGCGGUGGCGGAGGCUUGGGCUUAGGGUUUAGCGCGGGGAGGAGCUAGGGUUUUGGUGGGAGGAGGAGCGGAUGGGGACGGCGGGGAAGGGCGCGUGGGUGGUGCCAGCGCCGGCGUACAGGGAGGUGGAGGGCUGGGAUGGCGUGGGGGAGGACGCCCCGGGCUUCAGGUGCGGCCACUCGCUCACCGCCAUCGCGCCCACCAAGGGCCACGGCCCGCGGCUCAUCCUCUUCGGCGGCGCCACCGCCAUCGAGGCCGGCGCGUCCUCGGGCCUCCCCGGCAUCAGUUCGGUGCUCCCUUCCUCGCAUCAGCUAAGCUUUGAGUUUCAAAUUCUGGUUGUGCUGGUCUUGUGCGUGUGAUCUGAUGGCGGCGCUGUUUGGGACUGUAACUGAAGGACUCGCGGGGGUGACGAACUCGGUGCACUCGUACGAUGUGGAUAAGCGGAGGUGGACAAGGUACGCGCGGCUGCUGCGUGUUAGAAUUUAUGCUUCUUGUUUCAUAGAAGGCGGAAAUUCAGCUCAAUUUCGAGUUCUACUCCUAGUUCGGAGCUUCCUGGUGGACAGUUUCGUAGGUUCUGUAUGUAUGUACGGGUUCUGACAAUAAUGCAUUAGUUUUUGUGUUAAGUGCAGUGAAAUCUCCAUGCUAUUUUCGAUCCUGCUCGCGAUUGCAUAGAAUUGUAUGCUUUGCAUCCAUGUUUGGUGCUUGUUAUUGCUUGGUUGUCUGGAAUGCAGCCCAGUUGCAACCACCAACAUGUUAUUAUUUUGCUUAACAUAAUUUUCUUUUUGAAAUGGAUGAAAUGGAUUCAAAUACUUUGGUUAAAUUCUACAUUCUGCAGGUUGCAUCCCGCUGGAGAACCUCCAUCACCUAGGGCCGCACAUUCUGCAGCCGCUGUGGGCACCAUGGUUGUUUUCCAGGUAUAAGAAACUUGGGGUCUUCGAGUUCCGUUUUGGCGCCAACUUAGUUCAAGUGUGACUGAUGCAGUGUUGGUACAGGGUGGCAUUGGACCAGCAGGGCAUUCGACGGAUGAUCUCUAUGUCCUUGACCUCACAAACGACAAGUUUAAAUGGCACAGGUUAGGUUAAAGCCAAAUAUACUAUAUUUUGCUUGUUUUUCUAUGUGCUUUCCUUUUUUGCUUUUUUGUCGGAUUGCGGUCUAAUUUUUCCAUUUCUGGCACUCACUGCAGGGUUGUGGUUCAGGGGGCUGGUCCUGGUCCUCGCUAUGGUCAUUGCAUGGAUUUGGUAGCUCAACGUUAUCUUGUCACCGUUUCGGGAAAUGAUGGUUAGCUCUUUCAUGCAAAUCACCCUUAACUAUAUUUCUGCAAUAAUUAUGACGCAUUACACUUAAUAUUUUCCUAAGGCCCUUUUAUUUGAUUAGUAACUCAUUUUAACUUUCCUUUUCCAAUACGUCUUUUUCUGGAUUGCAUUAAGAGAUAAGUAGAGUAAUAUUGCGGAACUACAACAUUUUCCAUAUUAUUGUUGAAAAUACUUCAAAAGAUCUGGUGUUGUAAACUAAGACAACCAAUCUCAAGCAAUGCUCUUUUGUAGCGUUAAGCUCUGUUGGUCAGUUACUGCUCUCCAGGGUAUGUGAAUACAUGCAUCAUUUUCCCAAUAUAACAACAGUUUUGAACAAAAUUGCACUAAGAAUGUAAAAUUAGCUAUGGAAAUUUCACUAAUGUAUGGUUGAAAUCGAAAAAAAUCAAGAAACGUUAAGUAAUAUGUUUUUGGAUGAAGGUGCUUAAAAAAUAGAUACAUGAUAUUUCUGUAUUCUGGUUGCCAGUAAUAAAACUAUGAUCUACUUGCUACUCAUGAUUUUAAAUUUAUAAUUCAGCUUAGCAGUGUUACUCUGUUAUCUGUUUUACUUAUCAUGUAGCCUGAAAUCCUGAACAAUCCUAAAAUGCUUAUUUCUUGCUUCUAGGUCUCGAGGUCAGCGUUUUUUAUAUAAUUUUCUGAUCCAUGUCACAUCUUGUGCAGGAAAGCGGGUCUUAUCAGAUGCUUGGGCUUUGGAUACGGCACAGAAACCAUAUAGGUGGCAGAAACUUAACCCUGAGGGCGAUAGACCUUCAGCAAGAAUGUAAGUUGAUCCAUGUACUUCAGGGAGAUGGAUGAUGAUCUCCAUGUUCUUUGUUAUGCAUAUUAUCUCCUUUGAAUUCUUCUUAGAAUGUUUGUUGACAUUUUUGCCACAUCUUUUGAGUCUAUCCAUCCAAAAUGUUAAAUGAUUGGUAGAGUUAGAUUGCACCGGACAAGUUAUUGGCUUAUUGCAGAUUUUAUACUUUAACCUGUGCAAACUUAUCUACCUUCCAGCCCCUACCUUUUGGAGAUUGUUGAAUAUUUUCUGUACUUCUAACAUUAUAGAUGAAUCCUCUCCUAGUAAAAAAAGGGAAGGAAAGAAAAUUGUAUAUGUGGGCAGUGUGAUACUUAUUUCGUUCUAAAAGAAUUGUAUGGUACUUGUUGAGGAAAGUCAUAUCUGCACUAAAUAAUUGCUAUGGAUCAUAUGCUCAGUGCAAUAGAUGAUUGUUCUAUGCUGUAAAUGUGACGUUAAGUUGGCACUCAGUGUCUUACCCUUUUAGGCAUUAUGUCUGCAUUGAAUUCUAAAAAAGUAUGCAAUGUCUUACUUUUAGCUGCUUCUAAAUCACUACAGGUAUGCUACUGCCAGUUCACGUUCCGAUGGCAUGCUUUUACUUUGUGGUGGAAGGGAUACUUCUGGAACGGUACGUUCCUUGUUCUUUUGUUACUGUUUCUGCAAGAUUGUGUUAUUUACUUAUUUAGGCUAUUUUAUUUGUUAUGAUAUUAACUGCCAAUAUUUACCUCAGCCUCUGCUGACCUGAGAAGGUUAUAUGUUUAUACAGUAAAAACGAAGAUCCCCAACAAAGGCUUACGCAAUGCUUUUAUAUGAUAAAAAAAGGAAUUAUCCCUUCAGUAGUUUUCCUGCAUAUUUUCAAAUUACAUUAGUUGUAAAGUCUUCUGUUGUAAUGGUAUAUCAUUGGAGUUUGGAUGGGAAAGCACUUGGAAACUGAAUGCAAAAUUUGCUGAGUUACAUGCCAACGAAUUGAAAUUAGAGAAAUACCAUUGCAAGGUAGUUCAAUUGCUAAAUUACAUCGCCAUCAUUGCUCUUUUAAUGGAAAAUAAUUGUGAGUAAAACAAUGGUUUUGCGCUGCUUGUCGUGGAACUUGGCCUGCAGUGAGUUUUCUAGUGCAUGAUGGUUUAGGUGUAGUCUAUGCUGUUCAUGCUGUUCAAAUGGGACGCGGUAGCACAUCAAUGCAGUGGAUUCACGCUUGGGUUAAGAAGGCUUUACCUUGUUAAUCAAAUUAGCUACUUCCUUCAUUUUUCAUUCAAAAAAAAAAAUCUGUUGAGAUUUAUUUGAUGAUAAUUGCAAUGCAUUUGCAGCCACUUUCUGAUGCUUAUGGACUACUGAUGCAUACCAAUGGCCAGUGGGAGUGGACUCUUGCUCCAGGGGUAUCUCCAUCUCCAAGAUAUCAGCAUGCAGCUGUAAGUUAUUACUUAUUACCUAUAUCAUAUGUGCAAGCUUUUUUGUUAAAAAAAGUGCAAGCUCAAUAACUUGUUUUGUAUAUGACAAUCCAUGCCCAGCUGAUCUGGAGAAUUUUAUCCUGAUAGAACCUGUUCAUUUCAAAAGUGUAUUUAUUUGUUCUUGACAAUGAUUCCUUCCUUCUUGCUCCACUUAAUUCUGGCAUGUUAGUAUGCUUUGCUUCUGAUCGUCUUAAGCUCUAGGUUUUUGUUGGUGCUCGGUUGCAUGUUACUGGAGGUGUCCUUAGAGGAGGGAGAGCUAUUGAAGGAGAGGGCGCAAUAGCUGGUGAGCUUAUGCUUUUGCUCCUUCUACCUCCAUAUAUAUCUAUUUAUCUCUUGGUCUGACUAAACCUCACUUUCUGAAGUCCUCGACACCGCUGCUGGAGUUUGGUUGGAUAGAAAUGGCAUUGUGACCUCUCGCACUUCAAAAUCAUCUAAUGAGCAUGAUGCUUCUUCGGAUCUACUUCGUCGAUGUCGUCAUGCAGCUGCCUCUGUCGGUACUCAGAUAUACAUUUAUGGUGGACUGAGGGGAGGUAACUAGCCAUUUUUGGUUGUGCUCUGCCUUGUUUUGUAUUGGUUCAUCGGAAAUUCAGAGGAACUUUUUCUAUUGACACCAUGGAAAUUGUGUCUGAUCUGUAGUUUCCUUUUCCUUUUGUUAUCAGAAGAUGGAGUUAGCGUACUGAUGUUUGUUUUUCAAUGGAGUGGUUUGUCACUUUGUUGUGUUUAGUGACUUAGUGUAGCCAGCCAACAAGUAUUUGGAUGCUUAGAUUCGUAGUAUGGUAGAUUCUUACAGCACCUGCCAGAUUUCAUUUAAAUUACUGCAGCAUUAUUGUAGCAAACUUCUGAAUAUCUGAUAUCAGGUAAUCAUAGGACCUCCUAUGUUUAGCAAGCCACUGAUAUUUUAUUAGCAAAUGGUUGAGCAGAUGAGUAAUUGAUCUGCUUGUUGUUUCAAUCAAUUGUGCUGUUAGGUUUCAGUGACCAAGUCUAGAUCAUCCCUAAUGCAACUUUUGAUGUGAUGGUCAAUUUACCAUCAACUUUGUGCCUCUCAAAUCUAAUAACAUUAUUCUCUGACAGAUAUCCUCCUUGAUGAUUUCCUUGUUGCUGAGAAUGCACCUUUCCAAUCAGAACUCACUUCAUCUAUGUACAAUGCUGAUAGAGUCCCACGGGGGGAAUCUCCAAAUAGAAAUCAUAAUUAUUACUCGGAUUCAUCUGUUCAACAAUCUUCAAAUAACAGGCAAGACGCAGAUUCUGGUUUUAAGUUUCUGACUCACAUCUUUGGUGCUUGUAGAGGUUUCGUGUUUUUGACUUUGUGAAAGCUAAGUGAGUUCACACUGAUUUCAGCACGGACAAAAAGUCAAUUGACAUGUUGAUAGAGGCCUCAACUGCGGAAGCUGAAGCUGUAAGCGCUGUAUGGCGAGCUGCUAAGGAAGCAUCUGCAGCAUCUUCAGAAGACAGUCUUUCAGAGGGAAUAGGAUCUGAGUCCCCACUGAGUGAAACUUCGCCAAUGCCUGAAGAUUUUGAUGAUGGGGGCUCCCUAGAACCUGAUGUGAAACUACAUUCUAGAGCAGUACGUAUUCUGAUGAAAAUUCUUUCCACAACUUUGCCAAUACAAAUGUGUUCAAUUAUAAUAGCCAAUUACCCAAUUAGGAACUAAUUCAGUCUAAUAUAAUAGUCCUCUGCAAUUUUCUAGGCUUUAGCAAUAUUUGAAUGAGAUUCCAUUCAUGCUUGACUGUUUUACCCAAAGGUUUCUGUAUGAUUUCCUUGCAAAUACAGUUGUUUUCUUCAUAUAAGCUUUUUGCUUUCUUAAUUUCUGGUCAAUACAAUUUGGUGACCCUGAACUCCUGAUCUUCGUUUUUGAAGGUUGUAGUUGCUAAAGAAGCAGUAGGAGAUUUAGGAUGCUUGGUCAGACAGCUUUCACUCGAUCAAUUUGAGAAUGAAAGCAGACGAAUGCACCCUUCAAGCAAUGACCAAUCUUAUCCAGGCAGGAGAGCAUUAAAUAGACAACGAUCGCCACAAGGUUUGCAUAAGAAGGUAUAUACUGAUUUUGAUUUCUCUCAAGUAUGGGGGGAACUAUGUGUUCAUACUCUCUUUUGUUGCAGAUUAUUUCGUUCUUACUUAAGCCAAGGAAUUGGAGAGCUCCUGCUGAUAGAACCUUUUUCCUUGACUCUUACGAAGUUGGCGAGCUAUGCUAUGCUGCUGAGCAGAUUUUUAUGCAAGAGCCAACUGUUUUACAAUUAAAAGCACCAAUUAAAGUAUUUGGUGAUCUUCAUGGGCAGUUUGGCGACCUAAUGCGCCUUUUCGAUGAAUAUGGUUUCCCAUCAACUGCUGGUGACAUAACGUAAGUAGCACCUGAAGUUCAUAUCCCUUUUGAACGUACAUUCGAAGCUAGUGAACUAUGAUUUUUCUGCGCACUAUCUUUGUUUUUGUAUUGAACAGUGUGGGCUUCUGGUCAUCCGUUAAUAUUAUCACUAUUAUUGAGGCCUUGUAUAUUUACAUUUUCUCUGUCUCUUUCUUUUCCUUUUUUAUUGGUGGCUCAUGUUGGGUUUCCUAGCCUACCCUAAGUCCUUUACUUCCUUGGGACUAAAAGGCUUUGUGUUGUAUAUUGUGGCCGUGUUCUGCCAUGUAACUUGUCCUUUUCUUAUGUAAUAAAUUUGCCUUGUUAGGUACAUUGAUUAUCUCUUCUUGGGAGACUAUGUUGACCGAGGCCAGCACAGCUUGGAAACAAUAACUUUGCUUCUUGCUCUUAAAGUUAGUACCGAUUCCUGAAAUGUCUUUGCCAUUGCUGGAACCGUUAUGUAUAAAAUUUAGUUCUGAUCUUUUGAGAAACAUUGCAGAUUGAGUACCCGGAAAAUGUGCACUUAAUCAGGGGAAAUCAUGAAGCUGCUGACAUCAACGCUCUUUUUGGCUUCCGUCUUGAAUGCAUUGAGAGAAUGGUAGGCAUAACGGUGCUACGUGUAUUUAUUUGAAUGAAAAUAUUGGAUGCAUUAGUUGAAUGAACCCUUUGAUGUAGGGUGAAAGUGACGGGAUAUGGGCUUGGACAAGAUUCAAUCAACUGUUCAAUUAUCUCCCACUUGCUGCCAUGAUAGAAAAGAAAAUAAUUUGCAUGCAUGGUGGCAUUGGAAGGUCAAUAAACACCGUGGAGCAAAUUGAGAAACUUGAAAGGCCUAUUACAAUGGAUGUUGGGUCCAUUAUCCUCAUGGACCUCCUAUGGUACUUGGUGGCCCUUUUUAUGGUGUUCUUCACAUUUAUCUAUAGCACGACUACGAACACUUUUUUCUUGUGUAAGUGCAGGUCUGAUCCUACAGAAAAUGAUAGCGUUGAGGGUUUGAGACCAAAUGCACGAGGACCUGGCUUAGUGACAUUUGGGGUAUGACUUCAUGAUUAUUCUGUUGCUGUAGAAUUCCUGAUGUUUGCCUUUUCUUAUUACUUUAUCAAGUGCUUGCCAUUCCAGAUUAAAUAUUAUGUUGGCUCUUCUUUUUUAAACAAUCAAUCUUAUCGCUGGCUCUGUUGAUCAAACUUGUUUCCUGUUAAAUUUUCAGCCUGAUCGAGUAACAGAGUUCUGUAAGCGAAACAAAUUGCAAUUGAUCAUAAGAGCCCACGAGUGUGUUAUGGAUGGGUUUGAGCGUUUUGCUCAUGGGCAAUUGAUCACUUUGUUUUCAGCAACUAAUUACUGUGGUAUGUAUCUUGCAUUCUUGCACCUUGCUCCAUUUUAAAAGCAUGUAUCUUUUUUCUGAAAUCUUUACUGCAACAGGUACUGCGAACAAUGCCGGGGCCAUACUUGUGGUUGGCAGGGGCUUAGUUGUUGUACCAAAGUUAAUUCAUCCACUUCCACCGCCUGUUAAUUCACCUGAGUCCUCCCCUGAACGUGGGGAUGCCACAUGGAUGCAGGUCAGGAUUAAUCCAUUUCUCCUUUACUUCAUAUUUUGUGAGGGAAUAUGAGGAUUGACAUGAUUGCCAGUAAGAAUAUUUUUACCAACAACACUAGGCUCUACAUUCCUGUCCUGGCACUGUAUAAAUCGUCAUGAGCUAUUCUUGUCUUCUGUUGCGGGUUGGGUCUAAUAAUAGGUUGACUUACAAUAGACUUGGAAUUCUGAUUUUCUGUAGGAACUUAACAUUCAGCGGCCACCUACUCCAACCAGAGGGCGGCCACAAGCUGCUGGCGACAGGAAUUCUCUCGCUUACAUAUGAUACAUGACAGAGCCACCUCAAGCUUCUGGAUCUGUUGUUUGUAAUCAGAAAUUUGUUGGCAGUUUCAAGGUACAUAUGGUAUACUCCAGAAGAACAAUCAACCAAUCAACAGGACAUCAUGAAUACAAUUGUGAAAAGUUUCCUGAUAGUCCAUUGUGAUGCAUCGGUGUUAACUGUAGUUGAUGUGGUACCAUGAUUUGAUCUCCUCAUUGGGAAGCUACAUAAUAACAGUUCAGAUCAGCAAGUGACAUUAUAUGCUUCCCAACCUGAAUCGGUCUCUCUGUACUACAUUGUUUGGAUGGGAAGAAUGUGAUAGUGAUAUGAUGGAUAAUAAUCAAGUCUGAUGUAGUUUGCUGUAAUAGCUCACCUGUAAUUGUAGUGUACAUGGCUAGAUUGUUGUUAUUGCAGAGUAUAAGAAGGCUUUUUCAAUGUGUUUGUAUACCAUGCCCAGUGUCAGGGCGCUGUUUAAACGCAACAGCUAUACAACUUAUCAGAUUCUGAGUUUAGAUUGGCCUGGGAUUUGAGGCUCUUCAUCUGCUCUCUGAGGAGCAUGAAUGUUGUAAUUUAAUGAUUGAAUUUACAUAGGUGUCAAUGUAAUAAACUAAUUAAGUUGUGCUCAAAUUCAGUGACUGCUUGGAGUGACCCAGAUGAAAGGUGCUGAACUGGUGAUUUCGCCUCUGUGCACGGUGUGGGAGCGCGAGUGCGUGUUGGGGACGGACUUGAUUUUCCAUCCAGAGACCAAAACGAACAAAAGAUAACACUAUUAUCUUCAAAUCUCCUCUCAGAAUGUUCAUGUAAAAAGGAAAUAAAAAGAAAAAUGUUCAUGGAAAAGGAAACAAGGAGAAAAUAUUCAUGUUUAAAAAAAGAAAAUAAAAAAGUUCAUGAAAAGAGCAAACAAGAAGUAAAAAAAAUAAAUCGCUAGAAGGAGGGCUCGGAACACCUCCGACCUUGUGGUUGACAGCCACACGCUCUGGCCAACUGAACUAUUCCAGCUUUUGUUAGGCGGCUUGCCC